rnacentral:lncRNA from 1 species
GGGAAAAAAGACAGUGAAUUGAAUAUUAUAGAAACAUUCUCUCUUGAGCUUCUUCCUUCUCUACUUUUUAGAUCUCUUGUCCUGAUGGGCUGGCUGCCCUGUGAGAAAGCAACAAGGCACUUCCAGGGGGAUUUCCAAAGAAAGCUUUUUCACUGGCCCCAGCUAUCUGGAAGGUUUAUUCAAGUUGGAUACACUUCAAAGGACUCACAGAGCAGGCUCAGAAAUGUACCCAAAGUCUAGAUGCUUAUCCAAACUGCCUGAAGCCUUCAAACCGGCUGUCAAAUCUCUGCAGAGCUGGAGCAAAGGUGUGCUGGUGGCCAGAAGAAUGAAAUCAGACUCCUGAGCAUGCCCGAGUGUCUCAUGUGAUGUUUUUAGAUAAAGGAGGCGCUGAUUCUUUUUUCAUCCCUCCCCAGCUAUUCUCAGUUAACCCUGGUUCUAACAUAAAACAUUAAAAAGCAAAGGCAUCAUUUUUGUACUGAAGUAGCAGCCAGGUUUUGGACAGUGGAAGAGGACAGAUGUUAAAGCACUCCCAUUGGAAGGCCAGCUUCCUCUUUCAGCCUAGUCUGCCGAGUACUAGCUGAUGAUAGGCCUUCUCAUGAGGAGCAUGUUGGCGCUGGCAGAAAGAAAGAGACGCAAGGACCAGCUGUGGAAUUGAGCAGGUUGGCUUUGAAGGCCAGAGGGGAAAAACUGCUAUGAGGAAACAUCCAACUCAUCCCCUUUAAGGGUCACCAGGGAAUUGAUCCUUAUAGAGUAAAUGAUGCCUUCUUCACUUUUCUUCCUGAGUCAAAUUCAUGCUACUCUUAAGGGAUUCUACGACAGGCUAGGUUUAAGCUUUCAUGAUUUGAAUGCAUGUCUCCCCGGAGUUUGAAAUUGCUGUAUUUUCUUGGACCAUGAAGAACCAGAUGGAAAGCUGAA